UACGGAGGGUGCAAGCGUUAUCCGGAUUCACUGGGUUUAAAGGGUGCGUAGGAGGGCAGGUAAGUCCGUGGUGAAAUCUCCAAGCUUAACUUGGAAACUGCCAUGGAUACUAUCUGUCUUGAAUACCGUGGAGGUCAGCGGAAUAUGUCAUGUAGCGGUGAAAUGCUUAGAUAUGACAUAGAACACCAAUUGCGAAGGCAGCUGGCUACACGAAUAUUGACACUGAUGCACGAAAGCGUGGGGAUCAAACAGG
rnacentral:rRNA from 1 species